rnacentral:rRNA from 1 species
UGACCUCGGAUCUGUAGGAAUACCCGCUGAACUUACAACAGGGAUUGCCCUAGUAACGGCGAGUGAAGCGGCAACAGCUCAAAUUUGAAAUCUGGCCUUCGGGUCCGAGUUGUAAUUUGCAGAGGAUGCUUUGGGCGCGGUGCCUUCCGAGUUCCCUGGAACGGAACGCCUUAGAGGGUGAGAGCCCCGUACGGUUGGACACCAAGCCUCUGUAAAGCUCCUUCGACGAGUCGAGUAGUUUGGGAAUGCUGCUCUAAAUGGGAGGUAAAUUUCUUCUAAAGCUAAAUAUUGGCCAGAGACCGAUAGCGCACAGGUAGAGUGAUCGAAAGAUGAAAAGCACUUUGAAAAGAGGGUUAAAUAGCACGUGAAAUUGUUGAAAGGGAAGCGUUUGCGACCAGACCUUUUCCCAGCGGAUCAUCCGGUGUUCUCACCGGUGCACUUCGCUGGGUUGAGGCCAGCAUCGGUUUCCGCAGGGGGAUAAAAGCCCGGGGAACGUAGCUCCCUCGGGAGUGUUAUAGCCCCUCGCAUAAUACCCUUGCGGGGACCGAGGACCGCACUUCGGCAAGGAUGCUGGCGUAAUGGUCGUCAACGA